UACGUAGGGUCCAAGCGUUAUCCGGAUUUAUUGGGCGUAAAGCACAUGUAGGUGGUUUGAUAAGUCUUGUCUUAAAGCUCCGGGCUUAACUCGGAAACUGGACGAGAUACUGUCAGGCUUGUGGUCAGCAGGGGUAAAUGGAAUUCCUGGUGUAGGAGUGAAAUGCGUAGAUAUGUGGAGGAACACCGAUGGCGAAGGCAGCCCCCUGGGUCAAGACUGACGCUCAUGCACGAAAGCGUGGGGAGCAAACAGG
rnacentral:rRNA from 1 species